rnacentral:lncRNA from 1 species
AUGUUAUACAAGCGACAAACCUUCCCUUUUCCUCAGAGUUUCAAGAGUACGUUAAUGUUUAAAUUUGAGAAGAUGAGAAGAAGGAAAAAAACGAAAAAAGAAGUAGAAAAAAAUAACAAAUCAAUCAUUUGGCAGGUAAAGGAUCUCACCUAUUAUUACAGAUGGUCGGACUCAGGGAGAGGAACUUAUAGGGAGAUGAUGUCGAAGGAGGUCCUUUCCUUUCCGUUGAGGGCGAUGACGUCGAAGACGACGCGUUCCUUUCCGUUGAGGGAGACGAUGUCGACAACAUUACGUUCCUUUCCGUUGAGGGCGACGAUGUCAACGGUGUUGCGUUCUUUGCCGUUUAAGGCGACGAUGUCCAUGGCGUUGCGCUCUUUGCCGUUGAGGGCGACGAUGUCAAUGACGUUCUUCUCUUGUCCGUACAUAUUGCUUCUGACUUUGUACGCUUCUAACAAGCUUAUUCUACUCAAACCACUCCAAACCCCAAACUCCAAAAUGUACGGACAAGAGAAGAACGUCAUUGACAUCGUCGCCCUCAACGGCAAAGAGCGCAACGCCAUGGACAUCGUCGCCUUAAACGGCAAAGAACGCAACACCGUUGACAUCGUCGCCCUCAACGGAAAGGAACGUAAUGUUGUCGACAUCGUCUCCCUCAACGGAAAGGAACGCGUUGUUUUCGACGUCAUCGCCCUCAACGGAAAGGAAAGGACUUCCUUCGACAUCAUCUCCCUGUAAAUUGCAACCCCUUUGUUCUCUUUCCAGCCUUAAGUCGGCAUCUAUCACAUGGCUUCCCCUCAACAACAUCCGAGGCUGGACUCCACCGCAUCAGCACUCCCCAUCUCUCCGCUCCCUUUAUCUCUCUCUUUCUCGCACUUACACAUCCACUCGCACGGCAAUAAGUUUAACUUGUUAAUAUUUAAUCAUAAUAUGUGUAUAUCAUAAUCAAUAGCUGAUAAGAAUAAAUUUGGUUAAGAACAAAGUAUGAUCUUGAUUUCGUUGUCACUAUCCUCUGACAAAAGCUUUUAGAAAAAUGAAUUUCAUGAGUGAGCACCAUAAACUUCAAAGUUUGAUAAAGACUAUUAUGAACUCUGAGAAAUCAAUUUUGGUGCUAAAACAUUGGUGUCUAUACAGAUCACAAUAAUUGAGCUGCCAUUUUCAGAAGUUAUGCACUCCAAGACACCACUUUAAAAGUUGUGUGUUUCUCUCAUUAUUCCACAAGAGAAUCUCUUCAUGUCCUUUUUAUCAAAAUCUUAGAAAGUUUUAUUUUAUAUUUGAGAAAAACUCAUUGAAAUUUUUGCAUAAACUUGUAAAUUUUUUCGAGUAAGUUAGAAAAUAAACUACCUGCGGCAAACUGACAUGCGGCGUAUCUCCUACUUUUAGUGAAUAAAUUGUAAGGAUUCAAUUGGUUGUCAAUAACAAUCACUAACUUAAAACAAUCAAUAUGCGUGCUCAUAAAUGACGUUAAAUGAAAGAGUCAGAGCCAAAAGGGUGUACUUGCAUUGCAACGUUGCGAAGUCUCACCCGGUAAUAAUUGAUUCCCUUAAGAACGAUUGCAAAAAAAAGGUUUAAAUGUUUUUGUGAAUUUUCUUAAUUUUUAACAGAAAUUUCCCGCGAUUUUCUGUGUGAAACAUUCGCCUCCCUAGUAAAAGUGAGUCAGCCUGACGUCAGGCUAUGUUUCAUAAACUACCCUGAAUCUGACUGAUUCCGAAUGACACCCGUCUGACAUCAGCUUGAAUCAGUCUGACUUAGAGUAGUUUAUGAAACAUUUAGCCUGACGUC